CAGCGCCUUCUGCGGCCGGAACGAACCGCGCUUCUGCCGGCAAGGAACGCUUUUGGGGAUGUGUGUGCACACAGAAUGCCAUAACGGUUUGGAGUCUUGAAAGUCAGGCGCGCUUGGAAUAAAGGCCGUGAUACCUGAUUCUAGGUUCAGAUUGUUAGCACAGAGUGGCCAGAAGAACCCAAACUCCAUCAGAACAGCUGUCCUUUGAGAAAAAGAAUCCAUCGGAACGGCAACGUGGAUGAGACUUCCGACAUGAUUCUUCCACUGGAGCCCCACAGUGUGCCAGGCAGAGAUGUCAGGGGCCAGGGGUUUUCCGCUAGAG